rnacentral:lncRNA from 12 species
AAGGAAAGAUCAAAAGAGAAAGGGGUCCAGGGGAUAUCAGAUUCAGCCUGUCAUUUACCCAACACACAGACACAAAAGCGGGAGAGUGGAUGGAAGUCAGUGUCCUGUUACGCUCUACGCGUCCACUUGUGCUGGAGAGAGGUGGGUGCUGCUCGCCACCCACCCGGGGCAAACUGGGCAGGAGGGGCCGAAUGUAAGAGCGCCCUGGCCCAACAGGUACGCAGAUGCUCCCGCGUAUCCAAGACCCUUGGUUCUCCAAGAAGCUGCACAAACCCCCAGGAGGGUGCUGUGGGAAUUAGCGCAGCCCUCCUGGCACCAGGGAGGUUGGAAAGCCACCAGCUCCCAGCACAGUGCUGCCCAGGGGAGCAUCAGGAGCGUGGCCUGGACUGCAGGGUCCCCUGCUUCCAGUAUGGGGCCAGCGCUGGCUUUUGGAGGGGGCGGGUGGCACUGCAGGAGGGGCUGAGAGUUGCCAGGGCUCCUCCUGCUGCAGCCCCCAGCCUGCCGCCUGCUCCUCAGCCCGGGGCGUCCCUCCCCGGCCGGGGGCGUCCUCCAGAUGGUCCCCGUCCCUCCCCGACGAGCCAGCUCCCACCUUCAUCUCCCACUGAGAACGUGGACCCCCAGGCGGGCUCCUGUCUGUCACCCUGCGGACCUUGCCGCCUCCUGGCCCCGGCCCCGUCCCCCGCCCUGGGCCUCCUGACCAGGUCGCCCUGCUGCCCGGGGCGGUGCUCCCGCAGAGCGCCCGCGCCCCCGCCCCGGCCGCCUGUCCCGCGACGCCGGGUCAUCCGUGGGGCGUUGGACGUGCCGGCUGCUGGCCAGGGCCCGGCGGGCACCGCUGUUCCCAGGCACGCGGGGGCCCCGGGACGCGUGCGCCGCGACUGUGUGCACCGCCGCGCGUGGGUGUCCUCCCAGGCCCAGUGUCCCUGCGGCCUCCGCCGGCGAUCCUCGUGCUGCUGCCGCUCCUCGCUCUUCCCGAGGGGCCGGCGCGCCCCGGGACCCCACGCCGCCCGCGCCCGCCGCCCGACGGUCCCCGGGAGCCCGCGGCUGACGAGCAGGUGGGCGGACGGACACCGCGUACACGUGGCUGCGGAGCCACCGUCGCCGAUGUCGCUCGGAUUCCGAGUCACCGGCCCGCCGGAGGGGAGCCCCGCCCCCGCCGCCGCCGCCCCUCCCCGCCACCAGGGGGCGCGACGCCCCUCCGCGCGGCGACACUGCGCAAGCGCGGCUGCCCGGAACCCCGGCGCCCAGCUUCCGGGGCCGCCGGCCAGUGCGCCGCCGACCGGGUCCCGCGAGCCGCGCCAACGGCAGGUGGGCAGGUGGGCGGGGGGCCGGGGGAGCUGGGGG